CCCGACUGCUAUCGGAUUGAGAUUUAACCAUGCGAGUCGAACGUUCCCCUGUUGCGGGGAGCGUGGCGUACGGCUCAGUAACACGUAGUCAACCUGCCCUGGAGACAGGACAACCCCGGGAAACUGGGAUUAAUCCUCUGAUAGGUCAUCUCAUCUGGAAGGAGAGAUGGCUUAAAGGGGUACGCGGGCUUCUUCUGCGUAUUCGCUCCAGGAUGGGACUGCGUCCGAUCAGGCUGUUGGCGGGGUAAUGGCCCACCAAAACUGUAACCGGUACCGGCCUUGAGAGAGGUGGCCCGGAGAUGGACACUGAGAAAAGGGUCCAGGCCCUACGGGGCGCAGUAGGCGCGAAACCUUCGCAAUGCGCGAAAGCGUGAUGAGGUUAAUCCGAGUGGCCCCCGCUGAAGGGGUCGUUUGUCAGCUGUAAAUACGCAGGCGAAUAAGGAGAGGGCACGCCUGCUGUCAGG
rnacentral:rRNA from 1 species